UAGAGUUUGAUCAUGGCUCAGAUUGAACGCUGGCGGCAGGCCUAACACAUGCAAGUCGAGCGGUAACAUGUCUAGCUUGCUAGAUGAUGACGAGCGGCGGACGGGUGAGUAAUGCUUGGGGAUCUGCCUUAGAGUGGAGGAUAACCAUUGGAAACGAUGGCUAAUACUGCAUAGUAUCUGCGGAUUAAAGGGGGCUUAGGCUCUUGCUUUAAGAUGAACCCAAGUGGGAUUAGCUAGUUGGUGAGGUAAUGGCUCACCAAGGCGACGAUCCCUAGCUGGUCUGAGAGGAUGAUCAGCCACACUGGAACUGAGACACGGUCCAGACUCCUACGGGAGGCAGCAGUGGGGAAUAUUGCACAAUGGGCGAAAGCCUGAUGCAGCCAUGCCGCGUGUGUGAAGAAGGCCCUAGGGUUGUAAAGCACUUUCAGUCAGGAGGAAAGGUUAGUAGUUAAUACCUGCUAGCUGUGACGUUACUGACAGAAGAAGCACCGGCUAACUUCGUGCCAGCAGCCGCGGUAAUACGAGGGGUGCAAGCGUUAAUCGGAAUUACUGGGCGUAAAGCAAGCGUAGGCGGCUGAAUAAGCUGGAUGUGAAAAACCGGGGCUCAACCUCGGCCGUGCGUUCAGAACUGUUUAGCUAGAGUCCUGUAGAGGGGGGUAGAAUUUCA
rnacentral:rRNA from 1 species